rnacentral:rRNA from 1 species
AUUCCGGUUGAUCCUGCCGGAGGUCAUUGCUAUCGGGGUCCGAUUUAGCCAUGCUAGUCGUGCGAGUUUAGACUCGCGGCGUAUAGCUCAGUAACACGUGGCCAAACUACCCUACAGACAGGAACAACCUCGGGAAACUGAGGCUAACACCUGAUACGCGUUGGCUGUUUGAAGACGCCGACGCUCAAACGCUCCGGCGCUGACGGGACCUUCCGGUCCCGUCGCGCAUCGAGGCGCUUUGCGUCUCGAUAGCGCUGUAGGAUGUGGCUGCGGCCGAUUAGGUAGACGGUGGGGUAAC